rnacentral:rRNA from 1 species
AAUCAACGCUGGCGGCGUGCCUAACACAUGCAAGUCGAACGCGAAAGCCCGCAAGGGUAAGUAGAGUGGCGCACGGGUGAGUAACACGUGGACAACCUGCCUUCGAGUGGGGAAUAACCUUCCGAAAGGAGGGCUAAUACCGCAUAACACCUCGGGACACAAGUUCUGGGGUUGAAAAGAGCAAUUUGCUCGAAGAGGGGUCCGCGCCUGAUUAGCUAGUUGGUGAGGUAACGGCUCACCAAGGCUUCGAUCAGUAGCCGUCCUGAGAGGGAGCACGGCCACACUGGAACUGAGACACGGUCCAGACUCCUACGGGAGGCAGCAGUGGGGUAAUUUUUGGCAAUGGGCGAAAGACCUGACCAAGCAACGCCGCGUGGGUGAUGAAGUAUCUUGGUACGUAAAACCCUUU